AGUGAACGCUGGCGGUAGGCCUAACACAUGCAAGUCGAACGGACACACAGGAAGAUCUUGCUCUUACGGGUGGCGACUGGCGGACGGGUGAGGAAUACAUCGGCAUCUACUUUUUCGGGGGGGAUAACGGAGGGAAACUUACGCUAAUACAGCAUACGAUCUACGGGAGGAAGCAGUGGAGCUUGACACCUUUGCCGAUUGUAUGAGACGACGUCGGAUUAGCUAGUUGGGUGGGUAAAGGCCCACCAAGGCGACGAUGCGUAGCCGGUCUGAGAGGAUGAUCGGCCACACUGGAACUGAGACACGGUCCAGACUCCUACGGGAGGCAGCAGUGGGGAAUAUUGGACAAUGGGCGCAAGCCUGACCCAGCAAUACCGCGUGGGUGAAGAAGGCCUUCGGGUUGUAAAGCCCUUUUGUUGGGAAAGAAAAGCAGCAGGUUAAUACCCCGCUGUUCUGACGGUACCCAAAGAAUAAGCAACGGCUAACUUCGUG
rnacentral:rRNA from 1 species